UACAGAGGGGGCAAGCGUUGUUCGGAAUUACUGGGCGUAAAGGGCUCGUAGGCGGCCAACUAAGUCGGAUGUGAAAUCCCCAGGCUCAACUUGGGAACUGCAUCCGAUACUGGAUGGCUUGAAUUCGGGAGAGGGAUGCAGAAUUCCAGGUGUAGCGGUGAAAUGCGUAGAUAUCUGGAGGAAUACCGGUGGCGAAGGCGGCAUCCUGGACCGACAUUGACGCUGAGGCGCGAAAGCCAGGGGAGCAAACGGG
rnacentral:rRNA from 1 species